GAGGCCAGGUGGGGCGGGGCGGGGCAGGGCGUGGCGCUCAGCUCUGCAGACCCAGGACUCCCUGACCCUGCAGGCAAUGUUUUCCUGUGGCCACUGCUUUCCUCCAGUCUUAGUCUCCCUGAAGUCCUCGGUUGCUGGCCGGCAACACCAAGCCUGUGCUGUUUCCCCCCUCUCGCCUGGGUGCAGGAUUUGUGAAUGGCAAGGCCAAAGCAUUUGGAGCAGGUUCCUUGGAAUUUGCAUUGGAGGACAUCAGCACAGGUGGAAAUCUGCGGCAUUUGAUCCUCUAUAGCAGAAAAGCCAGCUCUGCCAAAAGUGUCUGGAAAAGGAGUCGGGACAAGAUCCCAGCACGUGCACAGAGCAGAUCCCAAGGCCUGCACUGUGGACAUCUCGGAGAACUCCAGCAGGUUGCAGGUUUUCUACAUGAGAGUGGAGUUCUGACCUCAUUCUGAAGAUGGGCGCCACCCGAAGGACAGUCCAGGUCCAGGUCUUGCGCUGUGUUCUCCUGCAUGGUGGCCCACCCGCACGCAGUAGCGUGUUCUUCUUUUCCUGCUUUUAUUUGGCACAAACUCAUUGUGCAGAGCCUGUUUCUUUUCCUAUCUCUAAUAAAACUUUGCUGGUUUGUGGUUUUCUUGA